rnacentral:sRNA from 1 species
UCUCAUCUUCCUUGAUAGGGCUCGGCGC